rnacentral:rRNA from 1 species
UACGGGGGGGGCAAGCGUUGUUCGGAAUUACUGGGCGUAAAGGGCGCGUAGGCGGUCAGCACAAGUCAGUUGUGAAAUCUCCGGGCUUAACCCGGAAAGGUCAACUGAUACUGUGCGACUAGAGUGCGGAAGGGCAACUGGAAUUCUCGGUGUAGCGGUGAAAUGCGUAGAUAUCGGGAGGAACACCAGUGGCGAAGGCGACUUCCUGGCCUGUUCUUGACGCUGAGGCGCGAAAGCUAGGGUAGCAAACGGG